UACAGAGGUGGCAAGCGUUGGUCGGAAUUACUGGGCGUAAAGGGCGCGUAGGCGGCCUUCUAAGUCAGACGUGAAAUCCCCCGGCUUAACCUGGGAACUGCGUCUGAUACUGGCAGGCUUGAAUGCGGGAGAGGGAUGUGGAAUUCCAGGUGUAGCGGUGAAAUGCGUAGAUAUCUGGAGGAACACCGGUGGCGAAGGCGGCAUCCUGGACCGACAUUGACGCUGAGGCGCGAAAGCUAGGGUAGCAAACGGG
rnacentral:rRNA from 1 species